rnacentral:lncRNA from 1 species
CCGUCAAACAGUCUCACAAAUGCUUAUGUUAAUAAAUAAACUCAAAUAAGAUAAUCCAAAUAGGCCCUAAGUUCAUAUAUCCCUAGGUGAAGAAACAUGAUCAACAAUGACUAACAGAAGCAGAAAAUUGUAAACUAGAUAAUGUAAAUGUUCUGUAGAAGUUUCAUCUCAUAAAAAAGUGCUUACGGGCAGCAAAACUCCUCAGGCACUGACCGAAUGAUUCCUACAGAUUUUUUCAUGUUUCCUGCGGAUGUACCUUUUCUGCAUAUUCUAAAAUCCUAAUGAAACAAUUACUCAAGAAGGCAUUACCUAGGAACCUAAAUCUUUGGCAAAAUCCGCAGGAAAAUCGAGAGUUUGUAGUAGUGGUGAAUGUGCAUAAUUACGCAUCUAGUAAACUUUGACAUCUUAUCAUCAUUUUUUUAAUCAAGUAACUCUUGCCAUUAAUAUUUUUACUUUGAUACAUUGUACUCGGUGGUGGAUUAAGAAUAAAAUCUCGGAUGGGCUAGCAAAAUAAAAUAUAAUAUAUAAAUUAAAUACGCAAAUCAUAUUGUAUACAACAAAUUUACUAAAAAUAUUGUCGACUAAUUUGUUCUUUUUUUUUCUUCAGGAAUUGAUGUUGUAAGUGAGGAAGUCGUUUGAUACAAGAUGAUUGUAUGAUUCUAACUAUGUUAGAUAUUUUAGGUUCAUUUAGUAUAACAUUUUCAUUAAGCAACCGUGAAUUUUGAGUUGAGAACAUAAACAGAAAGAAGAAUCAUAAUCGCAUUUUGAGAAAAGCAAAAAUGAACGGAACAUCAAAAAAAAAAUGAAUUACUCUGGUUAGAUUUUCAAUGUAGACUUUAUACUUCGAAAAAAAAAUGAAUUACAUAUUUCACAACUUCCAUAUAUUAUGAAAUUGUAAAAUAUUAGAAGAGAGAUCUUUUAACAAUACAAUUAUUGAUAGGGGAAAAAAAAUUGUUGCAGAAAUUUAGUUUGAAUACUUCUCCCUAAUUAAUAUAAGAAAUGAUAGAGAUAUCAUAUAAAUGCAUACAAGAAAUAAUUAAAGGGACAAAAAUGGAAGAUGUGAGAGAUAUAUCAAGACAAAAGAAAUACAUAUAUCUGAGCAAGGAGGAAGAUUGAGGAACGUUCAUGAUUAUCAAAUAUAAGAAAUUAUAGUGUCAAACACAUAAUUUGGCACAUUAUCAAAAAGAUUAACUUAAGCCAUAACCACUUUAAAAGUCAUAAUAGAUAAGAAGAUUUGAAAAGGAGAUAAAGCAUUACGAAGAAUCAUUCUCUUGGUAAAUAACUUCAGCUUGUUCCGAUGCUCUCUUGAACUGAAUAAUUUUUGUCAUCAACUCGGGUGUGACGUUUAUUUCAAGCUUCACCGUCAUCUUUUCUAGCAUGGGAGAAUACAUAAGUAGAAAUCUGAUAAAAUCUAAUUCAGAUGUAUUGUCAGAGAUUCCUUUUAUGCUCACAUGGCGCACUCGGAGGGGCACGGGUGGCUCCAAAAAGACAUCUUUCCAACAAUAGGAGGCGGGUGUUAAAAGGUCAGUAUGUUUCUCAAGCUUUGCCUACAUUCGAUUUUUACAAAUUUAAAGAUCAAACGGCGGAUUAUUGUAAUGAAUGAGAGACAUAUAGAAUAUUAAAAUUCUAAAGGUAACAUUGUAUAGAUUGAUUAAAACAGAAAAUGUGGUACAAGAGUCUCUUGUUUAUAUGACUCUACUGCACUAAUAAUGAAACUAAAUCUAUCUAAACUGCAACUGAUAUAUGACUUCUCUUCACAUCUUCAAAAUUCCAAGACUCUAGAUAAAUAAUUUAAGCAAAAAUAGUUUGCAAAUUCUAGAUAUUAAUAACUUUACAUAAAAACAAAAAUAAGACGUGCAAGCGCAAUCACAAAUUUGAAAGAAUAGAAAAAUCAAGCCGAACAAUACGAGUACUUACAGCUAUUUCCAAUCUUCGAAGAUUAGGUGAGCUUCUAAGCAAGCAAAGAGCAGCCAAAAUUUGUUUCAAGUCAUUGAACCUUAUGCAUAUGAAAAGAGAACUUAAAUUGAUACAAGGUGUCGGAAGUUUUACCGGCACAUCACCUGCAUCCAAAUACUGAAGCACAAUAGAAGAAUGACUCUAAAUCAGAUUGUGGAUCAUUUUUAAUUUGUAAGGGAGUGAGGUAAACUAAAGAGCAAAAACAAUUUUUACCUUUAAAAAUUGGCUGCUAAUGACAAGGCUCUCUAUGUGAGGUAGAUGAGCGAAGAAUCUUAGCAAAUUACUUGAGCAUCCACGCAAUUGACUAUGAUUGCUUCGAGAGUCAAAAGAAAAUAAACCUAACUCAGUUAAUUGGAAAGUGUUGUCAAAGCUAAAAUCCACAAAAUCACCAACGAUGAGAAAUUUCUUCAGAUUUGGUGCAUGGAUAUUAAGUUGGGUUAAACCUUCAAGAUAUAACAAUUUCAAAUCUUCUAGCAGGUGGCAGCCGGAUAUCAAGUUUUCAAAAGCAUCUUGAGCCAUUGUAACCUGAUAUAGUUCAAGACUUUUCAAGUUCUUGAAGCCUUUAAACGUUGUUGGAGGUUGAAUACAACAACAGUCUAAUUUUAAAUUCUGUAAACUUUGACAUGAGAACAAGCAUUGGGGUAUCUUAUAGUACUUCUUCGCUACAAAGAUUUGCAACACGAACUCUUUAAUAGACUUUUCUGUUAGACGAAGAAUCCACCGAUCAAUAUCAGCCACAGAGUUAACAUCACUGAGAUCACAACCGGGGUCGGAGAGCUGGAACUUGUUGAUCGGUCCAGAAUGAAGUAGAAGUACAUGAUCAACAAUUCUCAACAGCUUGCUCAUAAAAAUUGAAGGAUCUUUGAUAGCUUCAAUAUUAGAGACACAAUUUAAAUCAAACACAAUAUUUGGUAGUGUGUGCCAUUUAUUCCUCCAUUCACUGGACAAAACACUUGUUUUCACUGCUUCCCUAAUUGGCAAGUAUGAGAGAAUCUGAUCUAUUACAUGACCUGGUAAGCAACUAAUUCUAUCCGGCUCCACGCCAAUCACCGUUCUGCGAAUAGUGUUUGCUAUUUUUCUCCCCUUCAGAUGGACAUAAUUCAUAUUCAAAACAAGGAUCAGAAAACAUACUAUGUUAGUGUAUUUGUAUGUAUCUAUAUAUGUAUAAUAUAUACAAGAAUUUUCCUCUAAAAAAAAUUGUAUACUUGAAUUUUAGCUAGGUCCACCGAGAGAGAGAACCUUGAAACUCAAUGCAACAAUCUCAAUAAAUCUAUAACAAUCUCAAUUAUCGUUUUUAAACAUUUGACCAUGCAUAUAAACACUUUUUAACUGGGUAUAUAUUUUUCUAACUAAAUUGAUCAAUUUGACCUUAAUCAUAUUACAAGGUUGGUCUUAGUAUAGUGUCAUAAUUUGGCAUGAGCACAAUAUAAUGUUGUGUGAUAAUAUAUUACCAUUGGCAGUAUAAUGAAAUUCACUGAUGGAAUGAAUAUUAUAUGCACAGAAUAAGGCUUUGAGAAAUUACCAUUGUCAAGGUACCGAUUGAGUAGUUCCAGAAAAAAGAACGUAAUAACAACCUUGUGAAAGUGAUUGCUACAACAAACAAAAAACCAGUAAUCAAUUAGAGAAAAAAAAUUUAGUGAGUAAAAUAUAAAUAAAAAAUAAAAUCGAAUGACUAACCAGUAACCACAAUGAAUCCUUCAAAAAAAUAAAUAACGUAACCACUGUGAAAGGAUGAAAAGACUGAGGAUCUGGUAAAGAAAGAAACUACUGUGGAAAGGUUGGUUCCAAUUGUUUUAGGGUUUAUAAUUUUUUAGACCUAGUCGGUUGGGAAUCAAAAGGAUUUAAACACAGGGUUUAGUUAGGGUUGGGAAUAACACAAAGUGCCCAGUCUAUUAUUUAAAAUGAUAAGGAUUAAAAAAAAAUGGAUUAAAUAUGUUUUUAGUCGUUUAAAUAUACUAAAAUUUUGUUUUAACCCCUCUACAAAUUUCUUCUUCGAUUUUUGGUCCUCUAAAUAUUUUGUUUUCAAUUUUUGUAGUGGAGAAGUAGUGGAGAAGACGAUUCUUUUCUUGGGAGGAGGAACAAUUGAAUCAGUGUGUUAUUCUUUUAGUUAACAUUUUUUUUUGUAGGAUAAUGUUGUUGACAAAUGGGACUCGUACCAUAACUCUUAUGAGGGGCAUACAAUUAAAGAAGCUUAUCAGAUCAUCAUCCAAUCUGAGCAGUCUCACGAUGACAUCCAUUUAAGAUUAACCUGGAACAAAGGUGUACAUCUUAAAGUGUCGUUAUUCGCUUGGAGAUUAUUUUAGAAAAUGUUUCUAACAAAGAACAAUUUAUUUUGUCGUUGUGUGUUAAAUGGAGGAUGAUCGUUAUGUUCUGGAGGGCGUGGUAAAGAAGAAUCUAUUAAUCAUCUUUUUAUGGGUUGUAAUUUCUACGACAAUAUUUGGUAUUUUCUUCUCAGCUAGUUGGGAAUUUCAACAGCUCACCUUAAUGACAUUCGGGAGCGUGUUUUACAAUUUGUUGGAUGCAUAUGUUCAGGAAGGAUAUCAGGUUUUGUCUUCGGGUUGACUCGCUUGCAUUUGGAUUAUUUAGAAAGCGCAAUAUGACUGUAUUUUUAACAACAGAUAGUUUUUUUUAGGGAAACAAAUAGUUAUUGAUGGACCAGUUAUUAGAUUGAAAUAAGCUCCAUUCUUGGUAGUGGUUGAAGACGCACCAACCAAAUUUCUUCUUCGACUUGUAAUUUUCUUUCCAUUUUGUUGGCUACUUUCUUUAGUCUGACUGUAUUGUGUACUUUUUUCUUAUCCCUUCUAGACGCACCUUGUGCUUUGAAGGGAUGUUGUUGAUCUAUUCUGUCUUUGGCCUUUUAAAAAAAAAAAGUAUAUCUAUAACUUAUGGUCUUAUCAACAAUAUAUGUCAUAAAAAAAAAAAAAAAAAAAAAAAAAAAAAAAAAGUCGUUGAGAUAUCAAAAAAUCAUAUUUUUCUCUUCGCAUCAUUUUAAUGUUAUUUGAUCAUUUUGACUUAGAACUACAUCAAAUGAAUAUGAAAACUCUAGUUUUGAAUGAAGAUCUAGAUGAAGAGGUUUACAUGGAACAACUGGAAUACUUUUCUUCUGGUGGUGAGGAGCAUUUGUUAUGGAAGCUUAAGAAAUUUAUAUAUGGACUCCAAACAAGCUUUCACAAUGUCAUGUCUUUUUUUGGAUUCAUAGAAAACAUUAUGGAUCAAUUUUAUAUACUAGAAGGUCAUAGGACUAAAAUUUGUUUCUUUAUUUUGUAUGUGAAUGACAGUUUACUUGCUAGAAUUGAUGAAUGUUUUCUAUACGUGGUGAAAAAAUUUCUCUGCAAUAGUUUUGAUAUGAAAGGUGUGGAUCACACUUAUUAUUUGUGCUUAAAAAAGUGAUCUCUUGCUCCCUACGUAUCUGCAGAUGUUAUGGAUAAUUCAAAAUAGCACACCUUUCCAAUACAAAAUAUCUACUUAUUGGUGUAUUUUAAAUUAUGAUUCAGUUUUUGAGAUUUGCCUAAUGACCAAAACAAAAAUAGACCUAACACGGUUAUUAGUUAUUACUCAUAUUUUUUAGUUUGUAUUUAAAAAAUAUAUAUCAAUGACCAAAAGAAAAGAGAACUCGUUUUAGUCAUUGGCAUUGGAAUUUGCAUAGUGAUUGAACCAAAAUUCGAUUUAACAUAGUCACUUCAUGUACACCAUUUAUUAAAUUCAUAUUUCUAUUGAAACUUUGUGAUAACCAAACGAAAAAUAUGAUUUGUAUGUAGUAGUCAUCGGUCGUUUAAAUAUAGUUGUAUGGUGACCUGACUAAAAGUGGGUACACAGACCACAGUAAUCAAAACUAUGUAAGAUUUGGAUUUUUUUUUAUUAAAUAUUUGUGUAACCAAAUCAAAAGAAGUUUUUUUUAAUAAACACAAAAAAGAAUUUAGAGUAUCAUUAAAUUCCUUGCUCGAGUACCAUUACUAACAAUGUCUGAACCAAUUGAUUAUAUUGGAUCUUAUGAUAGAGCCCACAAACCACAUUCUUUUUUCAUCUUUUUCUCUUCCUAAAAGUAAAAUUGGCAUGCACUCAGAAUUAGCAAAUCAAAAUGUAUGAUUGAUUAUUGACAAAUUUUUGUAAAAUAUCUUCUUCUUUUUUUAAAUUUUAUGAUUUUUAAACCUUCUUUGUUCUUGAUAAUUUAAUUUUAAGGACGCAAACAUGUUAAAAAAUUUAAUAGACACACAAACAUGUCCCUUUUUUGUAAUUAUGAUGAUGAAAAACAAAAUUAAUAAUUUAUUAAGGAUGAAAAACUUAUUUAAUCCUUUAUUUAAAUAUUAAUAGAAUGGCCUGACCAUAUAUAUAUAAUGGGAUGAGAUUGUGAUGUUACAUAUCAAGGUUAUCUUAAUCCCUUUUUCCAAUGGAUAUUUGCCCCCAAUAAUCAUAUGUUAAAUGUCACAUAAAAUUUACAAAUGAUUCAAAUAUAAGUUAACAUUCCCUUUCAUUGAAAUUCCUCCUCUCCCACCCUCUCUAUAAAAUUCAUAUUAUUUUCUGAAUCACAUAAGUCACAAUAAAUUGGCAAGGAAGAAUCACAUAAAUAAACUUAAGCUUUUGAACAAUGAUCUUAUAUGUUCCUUUCUUGAAAUUACAUUGAAAUAAUAAUGGUUUCAAUCCAACCGGCGCAGUAGGUACUCAACCUGAACCUCCUUAGUAAGAGGUAUUACCCAUUUCUCAUACAACUUAGAAGCCACUGAUGGAUCAAACUUUUGUUUACCUUUACUGUCAUCACUGCUGUUAAGGCUUAUAUCCUGCCCAAACAAUGUUGCCUUCUUUUCAACCCUUUUCUUUACCAUCUCUUCAACACUCUUAAAUGUCAACAAUUUCAUCAACCCUUCUUUGUCCUACAAUUAAAAAGAAUGUAUCAUUUUAGGUGGAAAUCUAUGUGCCAAUGUCUCGCAUUUAAUGAGAUAAGGUCAAAAAUUAAAUUUAUAAUUUCAUUCUACAAGCCGGUUUAAAAUUAUAUCAAAGUCUAGUUAAGAUAUAUUAGACCAUCUGCGACCACUAUCAAGCCACUUAGACCACGCUCCUGAUGUUCAAUUUUGGUCGUGUGAUAAGGGUGUGUGUUAGAGGGCUAGAACAACAUUGCUGGAAAUUUAAGAAACAAUGCAAUAAAACAAUAAAGAUAAAUAAACUAAAUAAAAUAAAAUAACUUUUGAUUCAUUUCAUUGAUUUGGAUAGUGUGUCAAAGACACUAUAUAUAGGAAGGAUGGUAACCCUAAUGGGCUUAAGACUAAAGACCUAACUUAAGGCCCAACUAGCAACAACUCAAAAGAAGGACAAACUAAUAUAAUUUUACUCUUAAACUAAAUAGCUAAAUUAUUCAUUUAAGUCUAAUAUAACUCUCUAACAGUGUGUCAAGAAUUUAGUUUAUGAAAUUGAAGUCUUGUAAUUUGGAUAUCUCAAAAACCAUUUUGAAAUUUCAUUAAUUUCAGGAAUCAAAUUGUCCAACACCUAUAGUUUCAAUGACUAAACCAUUCACUUACUUGAAUAAGAAGAUUUAGUAGAACUUACAAAGUAAUCAUGGAAUGCAAAAGGAUAAUCUCAUGUUCAAAUUUUAUGACACUAAACUUAUGAAGAUAUAAGAAUGAUGAUGGAGCUAAAAUGCCAACACUCGGUAAUCUGAGACCAAUUUAUACCUUAGACCGAAUUAAAGGCUCAUAGUCUUGAGGAGAUUCCCUGAAUUUCACUUCAGCUACAAACUUUCCAUAAUGAACUCUUUUAGAAAUGGCCUGCAGAUAUCUUGUAAAAUGGAAAAUCAGAAUCAAAACUAGGCUCUAUUUGGAUAAGCAGUUUAAUUAAGCACUUUUAGCAUAAGCGUUUGUAAUAUAAAUGCUUAUGUAUAAUGAAUUUCUAUAACAAAAGGUAAAAUAAAAUGUAAGUUGUUUUCGUAAGUUAUCCUAGCGAGCUUAUGAAAUAAGCUGAAAACAACUUAUAAACAUGUCAUAAGUUGUUUCUGGAGUGCUUAUCCUAGAGAGCUUAUGGUAUUUGAGACUGCUAUUUUGAUGAAAAUUGAACUGAUUGUUAAUCAUAUGCAUUGCUCUACAUAUAUUUAUCCAUAAAUAUAUUCCUAAAAUAGCAUUUUUCAGAGAAAACUUUACCUGCAACAAUGAGAGGUCGCUAGCUGCAGUUUGUGCAUAGUUGCCAUCAUCACCGGAAGCAACGAACAAUGGAAGCAGGUCAUGAAAGUACAUUUUCCAUAAGGACUUGUUUAUGUUAAUCGAAGCGGCUCCAGGAUGCAAAAACUACAAAUGGAAUUGAUUUUAAAAUAAGUCAUUUUUAUUCUAAGUUGUAUUAACUGUGGAAAUUGAAAAAUCAUAUCAGUUUUGAUGAAUUACCUUUGUGAAGGGGUAAGAUGGAACAAGUGACAAUGAUAAAUUUUCUGGAAAGAAGGGAUUCUCUUCAGGGUUUUUGUAUCUUCCAGCCUGUAAUAUAAUCACGUUAUUUUACACACAAAUAUUCUUUUAAAUGCAAUAACAUAAUACUUAGCAACCACUCAAGCAUUAAAAGAGAUUUAUAAUAAACAACUUAAUCAAGUGCUUAUAACAUAAGCAUUUAUCAUAUAAGCUCUAAUGUAUAAGCUAUUUAUAUAACAAAGGAUCAAGUAAAGUCAAAUUGAAUUCAUAUAAGCUAUAGGGUGUUUUUAUAAGCUAUUCUAGAGAACUUAUGAAAAUAAGCUGAGAACAACUUAUGGACAUGUCAUAAGUAGUUUGUAUAAAUUCUCUCAAAUAGUGUCACAAGUGCUUAUGUCGGUAAAUAAACUCAAAUAAUACAAUCCAAUAGGCCCUAAGUUCAUAUAUCCCUAGGUGAAGAAACUUGAUCAACAAUGAUUAACAGAAGCAGAAAAUUAUAAACUAGAUAAUGCAGAAGUUCUGUAGAAAUUUCAUGCCAUAAAAAAGUACAGUAUAAAUGUAUCACUCGUUCUCAACACCUAACAUUCAGAACUAUUUAUGGAUUUUGCAAUGACUUAACAUACUAACUUAUGCUAGAUUGACAGAGAAAUUAUCAGCCAACAUAUUUAAGACCUGCUUGGUUUUUAAUAAACAAAUGUUAGUAGAUUAAUGAUUGUGUUAGUUUUCAGGGUUCAACUCUUAUGCGUCCCUUAGCUCACCAACC